UGCAGUUAAAUAAAAUAUUUCAGAUCGCAGUUGGCAGUAGUGAUGGCUUCACUGUUAUACAGACCGGCAGGUUACGACCAGAACACCGAAUCUUUUACUUAUUCUAUGGUUCGACGCACGUUAUUCGGUGCGCGGCGUACGCGUGAAAUGCGUGAGCGCGGGGUGUACUAGAUAUUAUUGUUCUACGAUGGCCGUUCAGGAAUACUCGGACGAGCGGUAGUAGUGGGAUCGGAGACGUGCUGUGCUCUACCCCCACCGAAUACUGGUUGUGCCAACGCGCUCAGCAGCGUACAAUACUGGGUCGUUCGUUCUCCGGUCUCAUUUCCCCAACGGACCGUGUGCUCGCCAGUGCGUUGCAACGGGCGAUCGUUCGUGUUGCUGUGCCGUUCGGAAUGGCGGCGUUGCCGUACACGUGCUUGGUACACCAUCGUACGACGCACGCAUUAUUGCUUUUGUUGCGGUCCUAGAAAAUGGCGUUCGUCAAGGUCACCGGGGCGGAUAGAAACACGUUUUCGUCGUGUACGCGCCUGAUCCGUUGUUUUCUUCUACUGGCUACUCGGUAAUUAUAGAUUAAUUAAAAAAAUUAUUUUAAACUUCGAUGUGCCAAAACAUGAAUGCUUUUGUGAAAAUAUAUUUUAUAAUUAUUAACCCGUCGUUGGUAUCGCUAUGCAGCGUCCCUCUAUUGGUAUUAAGCGAGCGUCGCGCUCACCUCGUUGUUUUUUCAACAUUACUCAUUAUAUAAUAAACAUAGAAUAUUGAAACCAACACUAAA